rnacentral:rRNA from 1 species
UACGUAGGGUGCGAGCGUUAAUCGGAAUUACUGGGCGUAAAGCGUGCGCAGGCGGUUUUGUAAGCCAGAUGUGAAAUCCCCGGGCUUAACCUGGGAAUGGCAUUGGUGACUGCACGGCUAGAGUGUGUCAGAGGGGGGUAGAAUUCCACGUGUAGCAGUGAAAUGCGUAGAGAUGUGGAGGAAUACCGAUGGCGAAGGCAGCCCCCUGGGAUAACACUGACGCUCAUGCACGAAAGCGUGGGGAGCAAACAGG